CAUGGCCUACGGGAGGCAGCAGUCGGGAAUAUUGCGCAAUGGAGGCAACUCUGACGCAGUGACGCCGCGUAUAGGAAGAAGGUUUUCGGAUUGUAAACUAUUGUCCUCAGGGAAGAAAAAAGACUGUACCUGAGAAGAAAGCUCCGGCUAACUACGUGCCAGCAGCCGCGGGAAUACGUAGGGAGCAAGAGUUAUCCGGAAUUAUUGGGUGUAAAGGGUGCGUAGACGGGAUAACAAGUUGGUUGUGACACCCCUCGGCUCAACUGAGGAACUGCAACACAAACUAUUAUUCUUGAGUGCAGGAG
rnacentral:rRNA from 1 species